rnacentral:rRNA from 1 species
GUACGCUGGCGGCACGCCUAACACAUGCAAGUCGAACGAAGUAGCAAUACUUAGUGGCAGACGGGUGAGUAACAUGUGGGUAUCUGCCCUUUGGCCUGGAAUAACACGAGGAAACUUGUGCUAAUACCGGAUAAGUCUUUACGGAGAAAGCUUUAUGCACCAUUGGAUGAGCCCGCACUUGAUUAGUUAGUUGGUAGGGUAAUGGCCUACCAAGACUGUGAUCAAUAGCUGAUUUGAGAGGAUGAUCAGCCACAUUGGGACUGAGACACGGCCCAAACUCCUACGGGAGGCAGCAGUGGGGAAUCUUGCACAAUGGAGGAAACUCUGAUGCAGCGAUGCCGCGUGAGUGAAGAAGGCCCUUGGGUUGUAAAGCUCUUUCGUCGGGGAAGAAAAUGACUGUACCCGAAUAAGAAGGUCCGGCUAACUUCGUGCCAGCAGCCGCGGUAAUACGAAGGGACCUAGCGUAGUUCGGAAUUACUGGGCUUAAAGAGUUCGUAGGUGGUUGAAAAAGUUGGUGGUGAAAUCCCAGAGCUUAACUCUGGAACUGCCAUCAAAACUUUUCAGCUAGAGUAUGAUAGAGGAAAGCAGAAUUUCUAGUGUAGAGGUGAAAUUCGUAGAUAUUAGAAAGAAUACCAAUUGCGAAGGCAGCUUUCUGGAUCAUUACUGACACUGAGGAACGAAAGCAUGGGUAGCGAAGAGGAUUAGAUACCCUCGUAGUCCAUGCCGUAAACGAUGUGUGUUAGACGUUGGAAAUU